GCAGAAUUCAGUGAAUCAUCGAAUCUUUGAACGCACCUUGCGCUCCUUGGUAUUUCCGAGGAGCAUGCCUGUUUGAGUUGUCAUU
rnacentral:rRNA from 1 species